CGGCGGCUGGGGUUCCUGGUGAUGCGAUUUUCUUGUGCUCGCCAAAAUCACAUUGCCAGGGAUUUCCAACUGGCG
rnacentral:pre_miRNA from 1 species